AAACAUCUACAACCACAUAAAAAUGGCUAUUAAAAAGAUUAAUUUCUUUGCCAUCAUAGUGAGUCUUAGGAGGUUA
rfam:Mycoplasma sp. (ex Biomphalaria glabrata), complete genome.